GAUGAACGCUAGCGGCAGGCUUAACACAUGCAAGUCGAGGGGCAGCACGGGUAGCAAUACCUGGUGGCGACCGGCGCAAGGGUGCGUAACGCGUGAGCAACAUGCCCUAUACAGGGGGAUAAUCCAGGGAAACUUGGUCUAAUAUCCCAUAGUAUUUAGAGGAGGCAUCUUCUAUAAAUUAAAGCUUCGGUGGUAUAGGAUUGGCUCGCGUGACAUUAGCUAGAUGGUGAGGUAACGGCUCACCAUGGCAAUGAUGUCUAGGGGUUCUGAGAGGAAGGCCCCCCACACUGGGACUGAGACACGGCCCAGACUCCUACGGGAGGCAGCAGUGAGGAAUAUUGGACAAUGGAUGGAAAUCUGAUCCAGCCAUGCCGCGUGCAGGAAGACAGCCCUAUGGGUUGUAAACUGCUUUUAAUGGGAGCAAUAAGGUCUACGUGUAGACUGAUGAGAGUACCAUAUGAAUAGC
rnacentral:rRNA from 1 species